UCAUCCUCCCGCGUUUUUUCAAGCAGUCGCGGUAACUGCCUGUGCCAACAAUAGCAAGCCGGCAUACAAAAUGAAAAGGAGCGGCAAAAGACCAACCAAUAAUUUUAAGUUGUUGGUUGGUCAACAACAACAAAGAGAAAAAUCUCUUCCCAACAGGAGGUCCAAGAAGGUGAAUGUAGCAGCCGGGCAGGCAGGGUUACCAGGUAAUGAGGUGACGACUACACCUGCUGAUGAGUUCAGUCUCUCCCCAUCAUCCCAGGUCUCGCUGUGCUAGGAGAACCUGAACCUGAGAUCCUGUGAGUGACCAAAUGGACGCUGUUGAUGGAGAUCUGACUUCACCACCACCUUGGCUGUCCUCUUCACAUUUUACUAUAAGUUCACCAUUGAAUAUCGGGAGGAAACAACAUCGCUGGAGUCUGUUAAAAAGUAGCUGUCAUUCAAUUUGCUGAAGAACACGAAGCAGCAGUGGAGGAUCAAAGUGAAAUCACGUGGCUCCAGGCCUGCAAGGAUCCGAAGCCUUUUGGCCCAGCGGACUUGUGAUGCAAAGUGGACUGAGUCAUGUGACCAUGCUGCUGAAUUGGAUGCCUGUUCCUGCUGAGGAUCCUCCCUGCUGACGUCUUUAGACUGUGGUUUAGCCACUCGGUUAAGAGCAGCAUGGUAGUGUUCAUAUGCACUUUUGCUCGGGACGGAGGCUGGAGAAGGACCCUGAAUGGAGCUUGGGACAGGACAAUCCAACACCUGCAGCCCUCUUUCCACCACCUACAAACCACUUCCUCUCUGGGCUACUACCUCCAGUGUUGCUUUCUGGCUUGGUUUAUUUGAUUGAUCUUGGUUUUCUCACAGUUUCUUCUCUGUUGGUAAGGUUGGUCGACCUCAGUUGUACAGCUUGUUUUUUCUCCUUGCACUUGACUCACUCUUCUCUGUGGAGAUGCUGGGAGAGGCUGUGAUUUAAAGUUUUGAACCGGGUU